rnacentral:tRNA from 1 species
GGAAAGAUGGCAGAGUGGUCUAUUGCGCCAGUUUGGAAGACUGGUUCCUUUUAAGGAACGAGGGUUCAAAUCCCUCUCUUUCC